rnacentral:rRNA from 1 species
GAUGAAUGCUGGCGGCGUGCCUAACACAUGCAAGUCGAGCGGCAGCGCGGGGUGCUUGCACCCUGUCGGCGAGCGGCGAACGGCUGAGUAACGCGUAGGAAUUUGCCCCAAAGUGAGGAAUAACUGCCCGAAAGGGUAGCUAAUGCCGCAUAUGGUCUUCGGAUUAAAGGAUUUAUCCGCUUUGGGAGAAGCCUGCGUUGGAUUAGGUUGUUGGUAGGGUAAUGGCCUACCAAGCCGACGAUCCAUAGCUGGUCUGAGAGGAUGAUCAGCCAGACUGGAACUGAGACACGGUCCAGACUCCUACGGGAGGCAGCAGUGAGGAAUCUUCCACAAUGGGCGAAAGCCUGAUGGAGCAACGCCGCGUGAAGGAUGAAGGCCUUCGGGUUGUAAACUUCUUUUAUGAGUGAAGAAUAUGACGGUAUCUCAUGAAUAAGCACCGGCUAACUACGUG